GGCAGGCCUAACACAUGCAAGUCGAGCGGUAGAGAGAAGCUUGCUUCUCUUGAGAGCGGCGGACGGGUGAGUAAUGCCUAGGAAUCUGCCUGGUAGUGGGGGAUAACGUUCGGAAACGAACGCUAAUACCGCAUACGUCCUACGGGAGAAAGCAGGGGACCUUCGGGCCUUGCGCUAUCAGAUGAGCCUAGGUCGGAUUAGCUAGUUGGUGAGGUAAUGGCUCACCAAGGCGACGAUCCGUAACUGGUCUGAGAGGAUGAUCAGUCACACUGGAACUGAGACACGGUCCAGACUCCUACGGGAGGCAGCAGUGGGGAAUAUUGGACAAUGGGCGAAAGCCUGAUCCAGCCAUGCCGCGUGUGUGAAGAAGGUCUUCGGAUUGUAAAGCACUUUAAGUUGGGAGGAAGGGCAGUUACCUAAUACUUGAUUG
rnacentral:rRNA from 1 species